UUCGGGACGCCGGCGAGUGGCGAACGGGUGAGUAACACGUGGAGACCUGCCCUGGGGUGGGGGAUAACAGCUAGAAAUGGCUGCUAAUACCGCAUACGCCUUACGAGGGAAAGAUUUAUUGCCCCAGGAGGGUUCCGCGUCGGAUUAGCUUGUUGGUGGGGUAACGGCCUACCAAGGCGACGAUCCGUAGCUGGUCUUAGAGGAUGAUCAGCCACACUGGGACUGAGACACGGCCCAGACUCCUACGGGAGGCAGCAGUGGGGAAUAUUGCGCAAUGGGGGAAACCCUGACGCAGCGAUGCCGCGUGGGUGAAUAAGGCCUUAGGGUUGUAAAGCCCUUUCAGUGGGAACGACGAUGACGGUACCCACAGAAGAAGCCCCGGCUAACUCCGUGCCAGCAGCCGCGGUAAUACGGAGGGGGCGAGCGUUGU
rnacentral:rRNA from 1 species